AGCAGCCGCGGUAAUUCCAGCUCCAAUAGCGUAUAUUAAAGUUGUUGCAGUUAAAAGCUCGUAGUUGAAUUUCGGGAUCAAUUAAUCGGUCGUGCCUCUGGUACGCACUGGUUUUAUUGGUUUCUCCCUUCUGACGAACCAGGAUGUCAUUAAUUUGGUGUCUUGGAGAAUCAGGACUGUUACUUUGAAAAAUUAGAGUGUUUAAAGCAGGCUAACGCUUGAAUACAUUAGCAUGGAAUAAUGAAAUAGGACGUUUGAUCCUAUUUUGUGGUUUCUAGGAUCGACGUAAUGAUUAAUAGGGAUAGGUUGGGGGNA
rnacentral:misc_RNA from 1 species